rnacentral:rRNA from 1 species
UACGGGGGGGAGCAAGCGUUGUUCGGAUUUACUGGGCGUAAAGAGCGCGCAGGCGGUCGAAUAAGUCGAAUGUGAAAGCCCCCGGCUCAACUGGGGAGGGUCAUUCGAUACUGUUCGACUUGAAGGCAGGAGAGGGAAGCAGAAUUCCCGGUGUAGUGGUGAAAUGCGUGAGAUAUCGGAAGGGAACACCAGUGGCGAAAGACGGCCUU